CUACGGGAUGCAGCAGUGAGGAAUAUUGGUCAAUGGGCGAAAGCCUGAACCAGCCAUGCCGCGUGAAGGAUGACGGCCCUAUGGGUUGUAAACUUCUUUUAUACGGGAAGAAACACCUCUACGUGUAGAGGUUUGACGGUACCGUACGAAUAAGCAUCGGCUAACCCGUGCCAGCAGCCGCGGUAAUACGGAGGAUGCAAGCGUUAUCCGGAUUUAUUGGGUUUAAAGGGUACGUAGGCGGAAACUUAAGUCAGUAGUGAAAUCCCGCAGCUUAACUGUGGAACUGUUAUUGAUACUGGGUUUCUUGAAUAUUGUUGAGGUAGGCGGAAUAAGUAAUGUAGCGGUGAAAUGCUUAGAUAUUACUUAGAACACCGAUUGCGAAGGCAGCUUACUAAGCAAUUAUUGACGCUGAGGUACGAAAGCGUGGGGAGCGAACAGGAUUAGAUACCCUUGUAGUC
rnacentral:rRNA from 1 species